rnacentral:rRNA from 1 species
AUACGUAGGGGGCUAGCGUUAUCCGGAUUUACUGGGCGUAGAGGGUGCGUAGGUGGUUUCUUAAGUCAGGAGUGAAAGGCUACGGCUUAACCGUAGUAAGCUCUUGAAACUGGGAAACUUGAGUGCAGGAGAGGAAAGUGGAAUUCCUAGUGUAGCGGUGAAAUGCGUAGAUAUUAGGAGGAACACCAGUAGCGAAGGCGGCUUUCUGGACUGUAACUGACACUGAGGCAACGAAAGCGGUGGGGAGAC